CGUGUAGGCGGGAAGGAAAGUCAGAUGUGAAAUCCCCAGGCUCAACCUGGGAACUGCAUUUGAAACUCCCUUUCUUGAGUAUCGGAGAGGAAAGCGGAAUUCCUGGUGUAGAGGUGAAAUUCGUAGAUAUCAGGAGGAACACCAGCGGCGAAGGCGGCUUUCUGGACGGUAACUGACGCUGAGACGCGAAAGCGUGGGGAGCAAACAG
rnacentral:rRNA from 1 species